CCCGACCCAAGUAAACCCUUUCCAAAGAAUUCUCUUGGCUCAGUUUCUCAAACAUUUUUGAACGCAAGUGCUUUCCCGACUCCACUCUUUCCAUCACAGGCUCUUCUCCGCACCCGAAAUCCAAGUACCCAAUCCCAGGACGGGUCAGGUUUCGGGUCGGAGUACUAGGUAGGCUAGAUAAAAUGGGUCGGAUCAUUGACCCUCUUGGAGACCCGCAACCAGAAGAAGGCAAAGACUUGACUUUACCGAGCUGCAAGUUCCUCAAAGAAGCCACCAUAGUGUUCAUAGUAGGCGACUGAGACAUAGGUGAAACCGGCGGCGAAGACUCGGCCCGUGGAGAACCGGAAAACGGCAUUGCUUUCGUACAAGGCGGUGAACUAUCGUAAGAAUCAGCAAAGUUGACAACCCUAAGCUGGUCCGGAGUAUGAGCGAAGAAACAGACCCGACGCCGACAACCCGACCCGUCUUUACACGGCAGGGUUCGGUAACGAGCAGGGUGUAGCCAGCACUCGAAAACCCCAUGAGCGAACUCGCAAGAGUCUCCUUUCCGACAGUUCCCUUUCCUGAAAUCGGAGCAAGCCGUACCGGAAUAAUGAAACUUCCUCGGGUCCCUCCGUCGAGCUUUCU
rnacentral:lncRNA from 1 species